rnacentral:rRNA from 1 species
UACGUAGGGCGCAAGCGUUGUCCGGAAUUAUUGGGCGUAAAGAGCUCGUAGGCGGUUUGUCGCGUCUGCCGUGAAAACCCGAGGCUUAACCUCGUGGCUUGCGGUGGAUACGGGCAGACUAGAGGUAGGUAGGGGAGAAUGGAAUUCCCGGUGUAGCGGUGAAAUGCGCAGAUAUCGGGAGGAACACCAAUAGCGAAGGCAGCUCGCUGGGACGGUACUGACGCUAAGGCGCGAAAGCGUGGGGAGCGAACAGG